UCGAGAAAAUUUUUGAAGUCAAUAAAAUAUGUUUAAAAUUUACGGACAACAUGGCUUUAAUAAAAUUAUGAACCAAACAUGGCUUGACCAGACGCUGAUUUUACUCGUUUAACAUCUGAUCAGGAAUUAAAAUAUUUUUUACAUGUUUAUUUCAUGACUGCUCUUCACCAGAACUAAAUAUGGAGUAAUAUAAAAUUUCAAUAAUGUACAGUCCAAUAGUCACAUAAAAGAUUAUCCUCCAUGCCCUGAUGCCUGGCUGCAAAUGUAUAAUUUAGUAACAACAAAUUUUCAUCUAGAUAGAUCCGUACUUACAUCAAUUCCACAAGAGAAUGCCUGCCGUUGUGACGACCGUAUGUGGCAAGUAUUAGAGUCUCAGCAAAAUUUGAAGCGAUGUUGUUAUCAUUGGAGUGGAAAACGCAGAAUACUCCUCCGAGGAACGAUGAGGUUAUGUUUUGAGUGACGGUUAUCAGGAUUAAGGAUAUUGUGCAAAGUAUUACUGAGAAUCAUCAGACGGUGUUAUUGAAUUGUUUUUAUGGACUGUGAUAACGUACGUUACUAAAUAUCCACAUAUAGACAAAUUGGAGCAAAGAUAAAACUGUUUUCAUAAGUGACAUAUAUAUCGAUAGUUCAAUAAGUACCAUGUACCAUCCCCAAUUGAUGCAUCUUUGUGUUACCAAAUUAGUCAGGAAUGACGUCGACGUAAAAAUCCAUUUCAAACAUUUCAAUAAUUUUUGUUAAAAAUAAUUUACUUCGUGUAGUAGAACUGUCUUUUCUCCACGCAUCAGUAAUGCCACUAAAAUCUGUUUCUUUUUCAAUAAUGAUCAUGGCCACAGAAGGAACGCCUACAACACACAGCACCCAUAAGAAACCCCAAAUCAACGGCUUUCCAUCUCAGAUGACUGGUGAUCAAUCUGGAAAAUAGCAUGAAAAUUAGUCGCAAAAAGCACAAAUCCAGUGACAUAACUACCAAAAGCCAAGAGUCGUACCGACAUAUUCAGUACUCUGCUCAUAAUGAUACUUUCAUUUGGCGGCGUUUAUUGUGCCUUAAGAACGUGCAUGGCGGGGACGGUUACACCACCCCCAAUAUCUUGAACCACACAGCGAUCAGGACGUCAACAUCGGUUUGUGAUCCAGAUAGGUGAGAGCAGUCCGCAAACAAGGAUUAUGACAACGAAGACCAUUAUCCAUUUGGCACUGAACACAUAGGACACUGCUGCACCUAAAAUCUCCGUCAUCAUGUAACCGCAGAAAUAGUCGCUUAAUGUAAUACCUUGAACAUUAGUGGAUCAUCCGAAAAAAACAUUCUUGAAAAAGAAUUAUCAAAUAUGAUAAAGAGAGAAGAUAUCCGUACUAAAAAUAACACUUCUCACGACGGAUUUUAUCAUUCAUCGCAUACCCAAGAGGUAAUUUUAAAAUCAUUGUUGACGCAAUGGUUCAUUUAAUUAAAUACGUUUUAAAUUGGCCAGGGCCCGAAUACGACUGGGUCAUCUUAAUUUGUAGGAGACCCAACGAGAUUAAACGGUUUAUUUCUAACACCGAUGUAUCUGAUGAAUAUAUAACAUCCACCUCAUUUGUAUCCUCUUCAAAUGAAGAUCCAAGUAGUGGACAUUUUGGGUCAACUGUGACAUAAUUGGGACGAACGUCAUCAUCGGUAAUCAAAGCUGUAUAAACCCAAAAUUGUAAUGAUGUUAAAAUAAAUCUGGAAAGUAAACUAAAA